rnacentral:rRNA from 1 species
UACGAGAGGCCCAAACGUUAUUCGGAAUUACUGGGCUUAAAGAGUUCGUAGGCGGCAUGAAAAGUAGGGUGUGAAAGCCCUCGGCUCAACCGAGGAAUUGCGCUCUAAACUGUCGUGCUAGAGGAAGCUAGAGGUGAGCGGAACUGAUGGUGGAGCGGUGAAAUGCGUUGAUAUCAUCAGGAACACCGGAGGCGAAGGCGGCUCACUAGGGCUUUUCUGACGCUGAGGAACGAAAGCCAGGGUAGCGAACGGG